UACGAAGGGGGCUAGCGUUGCUCGGAUUGACUGGGCGUAAAGGGCGCGCAGGCGGAUAGUACAGUCAGGCGUGAAAUUCCUGGGCUCAACCUGGGGGCUGCGUUUGAUACGUAUUGUCUGGAGUUCGGAAGAGGGUCGUGGAAUUCCCAGUGUAGAGGUGAAAUUCGUAGAUAUUGGGAAGAACACCGGUGGCGAAGGCGGCGACCUGGUCCGAUACUGACGCUGAGGCGCGAAAGCGUGGGGAGCAAACAGG
rnacentral:rRNA from 1 species